UUCGGGUCUAGUGGCGCACGGGUGCGUAACGCGUGGGAAUCUGCCCUUAGGUUCGGAAUAACAGUUAGAAAUGACUGCUAAUACCGGAUAAUGUCUUCGGACCAAAGAUUUAUUGCCUAAGGAUGAGCCCGCGUAAGAUUAGCUUGUUGGUGAGGUAAAGGCUCACCAAGGCGACGAUCUUUAGCUGGUCUGAGAGGAUGAUCAGCCACACUGGGACUGAGACACGGCCCAGACUCCUACGGGAGGCAGCAGUGGGGAAUAUUGGACAAUGGGCGAAAGCCUGAUCCAGCAAUGCCGCGUGAGUGAUGAAGGCCUUAGGGUUGUAAAGCUCUUUUACCCGGGAUGAUAAUGACAGUACCGGGAGAAUAAGCCCCGGCUAACUCCGUGCCAGCAGCCGCCGUAAUACGGAGGGGGCUAGCGUUGUUCGGAAUUACUGGGCGUAAUGCGUACGUAGGCGGCUUUGUAAGUUAGAGGUGAAAGCCCGGGGCUCAACCCCGGAAUUGCCUUUAAGACUGCAUCGCUUGAAUCAUGGAGAGGUGAGUGGA
rnacentral:rRNA from 1 species